rnacentral:rRNA from 1 species
CCGCAUAAUGUUUGAACCGCUGAUUAAAACNAAGCUUUAUGUGCUGAAGAUGGUCUCGCGUCUGAUUAGCUAGUUGGUGAGGUAACGGCUCACCAAGGCGACGAUCAGUAGCCGGUCUGAGAGGAUGAACGGCCACAUUGGNACUGAGAUACGGCCCAGACUCCUACGGGAGGCAGCAGUGGGGNAUAUUGGGCAAUGGGGGNAACCCUGACCCAGCAACGCCGCGUGAAGGAAGAAGGCCUUCGGGUUGUAAACUUCUUUUAGCAGGGACGAAGGACGUGACGGUACCUGCAGAAAAAGCAACGCU